rnacentral:tRNA from 4 species
GGACUCGUAGCUCAGUUGGUCAGAGCGCCUCAUUUACACUGAGGAGGUCAGAGGUUCAAGUCCUCUCGGGUCCACCC